rnacentral:rRNA from 1 species
CCUACGGGAGGCAGCAGUGGGGAAUAUUGGACAAUGGGGGCAACCCUGAUCCAGCCAUGCCGCGUGUGUGAAGAAGGCCCUCGGGUUGUAAAGCACUUUCAGUGAGGAAGAACGCCUGGUGGUUAAUACCCAUCAGGAAAGACAUCACUCACAGAAGAAGCACCGGCUAACUCCGUGCCAGCAACCGCGGUAAUACGGAGGGUGCGAGCGUUAAUCGGAAUUACUGGGCGUAAAGCGCGCGUAGGUGGCUUGAUAAGCCGGUUGUGAAAGCCCCGGGCUCAACCUGGGAACGGCAUCCGGAACUGUCAAGCUAGAGUGCAGGAGAGGAAGGUAGAAUUCCCGGUGUAGCGGUGAAAUGCGUAGAGAUCGGGAGGAAUACCAGUGGCGAAGGCGGCCUUCUGGACUGACACUGACACUGAGGUGCGAAAGCGUGGGUAGCAAACAGGAUUAGAUACCCUAGUAGUC